rnacentral:rRNA from 1 species
GACGAACGCUGGCGGCGUGCUUAACACAUGCAAGUCGAACGGAAAGGCCCUGCUUUUGUGGGGUGCUCGAGUGGCGAACGGGUGAGUAACACGUGAGUAACCUGCCCUUGACUUUGGGAUAACUUCAGGAAACUGGGGCUAAUACCGGAUAGGAGCUCCUGCUGCAUGGUGGGGGUUGGAAAGUUUCGGCGGUUGGGGAUGGACUCGCGGCUUAUCAGCUUGUUUGUGGGGUAGUGGCUUACCAAGGCUUUGACGGGUAGCCGGCCUGAGAGGGUGACCGGCCACAGUGGGACUGAGAUACGGCCCAGACUCCUACGGGAGGCAGCAGUGGGGAAUAUUGCACAAUGGGCGGAAGCCUGAUGCAGCAACGCCGCGUGCGGGAUGACGGCCUUCGGGUUGUAAACCGCUUUCGCCUGUGACGAAGAGGGAGUGACGGUAAUGGGUAAAGAAGCACCGGCUAACUACGUG